rnacentral:rRNA from 1 species
CCUACGGGUGGCAGCAGUGGGGAAUAUUGCACAAUGGGGGAAACCCUGAUGCAGCGACGCCGCGUGAGUGAAGAAGUAUUUCGGUAUGUAAAGCUCUAUCAGCAGGGAAGAAAAUGACGGUACCUGAUUAAGAAGCCCCGGCUAACUACGUGCCAGCAGCCGCGGUAAUACGUAGGGGGCAAGCGUUAUCCGGAUUUACUGGGUGGAAAGGGAGCGUAGACGGUGAUGCAAGUCAGGCGUGAAAGCCCGGGGCCCAACUCCGGGACUGCUUUUGAAACUGUGUGACUGGAGUGCAGGAGAGGUAAGCGGAAUUCCUGGUGUAGCGGUGAAAUGCGUAGAUAUCGGGAGGAACACCAGUGGCGAAGGCGGCUUACUGGACUGUAACUGACGUUGAGGCUCGAAAGCGUGGGGAGCAAACAGGAUUAGAUACCCCUGUAGUC